UGUCCCUUUUAAUAGCAGUCCCGUGAGGCUGCAAAGGGGUCCGAAAGGUGUAUACGCUAUUUGUAUGCACUUUGGCAAAACCUCUUUGUGCCUCAUCGGCCAAAGAGGUUUUUUUGU
rfam:Aeribacillus pallidus strain 8m3 NODE_3, whole genome shotgun sequence.